GGGGUUGUGGCUCAUUGGUAGAGUGCUUGCCUAGCAUGUGUGAGGCACUGGGUUGGAUUCUCAGCACCACCU
rnacentral:tRNA from 1 species